AGUGAACGCUGGCGGUAGGCCUAACACAUGCAAGUCGAACGGCAGCACAGUAAGAGCUUGCUCUUACGGGUGGCGAGUGGCGGACGGGUGAGGAAUACAUCGGAAUCUACUUUUUCGUGGGGGAUAACGUAGGGAAACUUACGCUAAUACCGCAUACGACCUACGGGUGAAAGCAGGGGAUCUUCGGACCUUGCGCGAUUGAAUGAGCCGAUGUCGGAUUAGCUAGUUGGCGGGGUAAAGGCCCACCAAGGCGACGAUCCGUAGCUGGUCUGAGAGGAUGAUCAGCCACACUGGAACUGAGACAGGGUCCAGACUCCUACGGGAGGCAGCAGUGGGGAAUAUUGGACAAUGGGCGGAAGCCUGAUCCAGCCAUACCGCGUGGGUGAAGAAGGCCUUCGGGUUGUAAAGCCCUUUUGUUGGGAAAGAAAAGCAGCAGGUUAAUACCCCGCUGUUCUGACGGUACCCAAAGAAUAAGCACCGGCUAACUUCGUG
rnacentral:rRNA from 1 species